rnacentral:rRNA from 1 species
CCUACGGGUGGCAGCAGUGAGGAAUAUUGGUCAAUGGCCGGAAGGCUGAACCAGCCAUGCCGCGUGAAGGUCAGUGCCCUUUGGGCGUUAAACUUCUUUUUUGCGGGAGCAAUAAUGGUCACGUGUUGCCAUACGAUAGUACCGUACGAAUAAGCAUCGGCUAACUCCGUUCCAUCAGCCGCGGUAAUACGGGGGAUGCAAGCGUUAUCCGGAUUUAUUGGGUUUAAAGGGUGCGUAGGCUGUGAGGUAAGUUAGCGGUGAAAUGCCCCCGCUCAACGGGGUGAAGUGCCAUUGAUACUGCGUUGCUGGAAUGCGGAUGACGUGGGAGGAAUGUGUGGUGUAGCGGUGAAAUGCAUAGAUAGUACACAGAACACUAGUGGCGAAGGCGGGUUCCUGGACAUUAACUGACGCUGAGGCACGAAGGCCAGGGGAGCGAAAGGGAUUAGAUACCCCUGUAGUC